GGAUUAGAUACCCUGGUAGUCCACGCCGUAAACGAUGGGUACUAGACUUUAUGGGAAUUGACCCCUGUAGAGUCGGAGCUAACGCGAUAAGUACCCCGCCUGGGAAGUACGGUCGCAAGACUAAAACUCAAAGGAAUUGACGGGGGCCCGCACAAGCGGUGGAUCAUGUGGUUUAAUUCGACGCAACGCGCGGAACCUUACCUGGGUUUGACAUCUCCGGCUAUUCGUAGAAAUACGAAGUUAGUAGCAAUACUACCGGAAGACAGGUGCUGCAUGGCUGUCGUCAGCUCGUGCCG
rnacentral:rRNA from 1 species